rnacentral:tRNA from 2 species
GGAGCGGUAAUGCGACCGGUUGCUACCGGUUUGUGACGCCAGGGCUUGCAGGUGCGAGCCCGGUCCGCUCCGCCA